UUUCCUCUGGCUGCACACCUCCAAAUCUACCCUGCACAGAAAUGAAAGCAUGUGUUCACAGACCCGCAGAGAAACCACUGAGACACAGAGAAGCCAAAAAGAUGAUAGCUGGAGUAAGGGUGCAGAGCAGAAGGGUGACUUUGAGUAUGGCAGCUCAGGCUCUGGCCUCGGCAGAGACAGCUGGACCCCGGGAGAAGGGCAUGCUGAAGGCCAGGGAGACAGAGCCCGUGACAGUUCUCAUUUCCUUGAUGCCGCUAAAGAGCCCAGAUGAGAAGCACAUGUGUUCUAUAUUUAGGCUUUGAGUUUUUUUCCCUUCUGAAACAGGAGGUGGGAGAAGGGGUGAAGUUUGAUUCAGGCCCAGAGAUAAAGAGUGACACUCACAAACGGGCCGUAAUAGGGGGCAAAGUAAGUUAAGCUGUAGUAAAUGUUUUAAAAUCCUCAGCUAGAUAGACUAAACAGCCCCUGCCGAGGAGGGGGAACCAGCUGUCUCUCCAGCCAUUCACACUUAUGAAGGCGACUCUGCGGUCUGUGUGGCCGCCCAGUCUGUCAUCUGCACACGGAGGCCAGCCUGCAGGACUGGGUGGCGAGGAGGAGUAACAGAGUUGGGUCCCUGGAAGUGCCUUGUGAACUGUAAACUACAGGACAAGCGCACGAAGUUCUUGUAUCGAUUAUAUUUCUGCUUUUGAGAAGUAUGUUCAGGAAAUGGAAAUGUUUUCAGCUGAAGAACAAACAUAUCAGGAUAAAGGGAAUAACAAACCAAAAUCAAAAACUUCCUAGCAUGUUUGACAUGUUCGUUAAUUCACCCUAACACUGAUCUGAAAGGGAAUUCAUUGUUGACAACUUUGCAAUGGAGUUAAGUCUAAAAGUCCACUGAAAGGGCCACUUGGAUUACACGCCAGUUGCCACCACAUUAGUCUGACCGUCACCCGCUUGCAAGGCACCACUGAGUUGCAUGUUCAUGAGCUGAAAGCAUUUCAGUAUGUCAACAUAAGCUGAUGAGGAUGACAAUAAUAAAAUAAUUCCUGAUGCUGUCGCAACUCUUUUGAAGACUCUUCCAGAUAAACCGGCAAAGCACUUGCACAUCCGGGAGGUAAUUCAGUUCUUUUGCACUGAGUCCAGAGAUGCAAGAAUUAUCGCCCCAUUUCACAGAGGAGGAAAUGUGCCAGCCUCUUAAACCCCUCAGCAGUGUCAGGGGUGGGCUUACCUACCCUUCCUGGUCUCUCCGCAGAUGCGGGGAACUGGGCUCCUAUGUGGUUUUAUGCUCCUGCAGCAGACAAGAGUGAUCUCAGCAAUUGGGCACUAAGCUCCAAGGUGACUACAAAUGGGGAGAUGCUUUGAUAGACUUCAUAGAGCUUUUCCUCUGCAUCAUACACCAUCAUAAAUUAACGCAUCCUGUCUCCACAUCUCUUUCAUUGCGUCUUUGGGUCCAGUAGAGGUGGUAAGGAGGUGAUAAGCAGCCCCUGGCAGAUGUGUUGGGCAAGUGGCCAUGGUGAACUCUUCACGUGCCAGAUCCUUUCACAUCACAUGAAGCAAACGGCCCCUCCAUGAAGGACGGAAGAAAAGCUGAGAAAUACUCAGGUUUGGGAUUGUUUCUCCACCACCCGAAUAAGCUUUCCAAUUCCACUGUUCUGAUGGAAGGAAGCAGUGAUUGGGGCUGAUGGCCUUUCAUGCUCAGAGCCCCAUUGCUCUGGAAGACUGCUGGUGGGGAAUGGAAGUACACUGGAAGAUAAGGGUACAAAAAGGAUUAAUGCUGGACUUAACUAAUGAAGUUACUUAACAUUAGAAACACCCAUCCAGGCAUGGUGGUGCCCAUUUGCAAUUCCAGCACUUGAGAGACAAAGGCAGGAUUGCUGUGAGUUCAAGUCCAUCCCAGUCUACAUAGUAAGAGUCUGUCUCAUGAACAAGGAGCAGCUAAAAUCCCAACUUCUUACUUGUUAGAGAUGUCUGACAUGAAAUAGCUACCACUGUGGCAUAGAGGCCAGUGUUAAAAUUUGACAAAUCAGUCUCUUCUUAGAGAUAAAAAUUUUGCAGGUUAAUAAAAGUGGUUUACUCUAUCAUACAAAAAUACAUUUACAAGCAACGUAUCCUAAUAUAGGAAGCUGACUGUUCAUUUUAUCUCAGUUAAUCCUUGACACACAUGAUUUUAAAAUGUUGAUGGUGUUUUGUCAUGUUUUUAAAAUUUUUUUCUUUUAAAUUCUUUUUUUGUCAUGUUAAAAUAUCAGCUGGUUUCAUGAUAGCCAUUCAAUAAACUUAGUUUUGAUAGUAACACAUAUCUUAUAUACUAUUGACUAUAUGAAACAUAAAUAACCACUUUUUCCCCCCAAAAUCUUUUGCAGUACAGGGGCUUGAACCCAAGUUCAAAUGAGCAAAUGACCCCUCCAUGAAGGAUGGAAGAAGAGGCUGAGAAAUACUUAGGUUUAGAAUUAUUUCUGCAUCCCAGCCCUGUUUUAUUUUUUUUUCACUUUGAGACAGGAUCCUUCACAUUUGCUAAAUUUCCCAGGCUGGGUUCUUUCCUGGAGUGCAAGGGUUAUAGGUGCACCUGGCUAAUGUAACCAAGCUGUGAAAGCAUCUCUGAAGAGCUGCUUUUGGUACAGAAAGAGCAAACUGAUCUCCCCUGGGCAUUAGCCACCAGCAGCCCACUGAGGUGUUAUCUCCAGAAAGCCGAUCUGGGCUCAGCAGAAAGUAUGCUGGGCAGAUGGGUGAUGCCAGUCAGGAAGAGGAAGGAAGGUCUGGUGGCAGGUGUACCAUUUAUUUGCCAUCUCAACUGUGGGAGGAGAAGAGAACUACACCUACAGUGAUUGCAUAUUUCACUAGGAACAAAGACUGCUGACGUGGAUGAAGAAUUCCUUUGAUGGCCUAGUUUUUGCCAGAGCAAAGAUUUGAUCAUUUCAAAUAGCCACUGACUUAAGAGCACUAUUUUAAAUGUUUCCUGAAUAUUGGGUGUCUAAAGGGGUAGGGAUUAUUCAUUUUUUUUUCAGCAUGUUUGUACUGUUAUUUGCAAUUCUGGAACUGAGUCUGUCAUUGUUAUGGUGGCAAAUGUCAGUCAGGAUUGUCUAAUUAUAUAAGCUUCUUACAAAUAA